CGUAGGGUGCGAGCGUUAAUCGGAAUUACUGGGCGUAAAGCGUGCGCAGGCGGCUUUGCAAGUCAGACGUGAAAGCCCGGGCUUAACCUGGGGAUGGCGUUUGAAACUACGGAGCUGGAGUGUGGCAGAGGGGGUGGAAUUCCACGUGUAGCGGUGAAAUGCGUAGAUAUGUGGAGGAACACCGAUGGCGAAGGCAGCCCCCUGGGCCAACACUGACGCUCAUGCACGAAAGCGUGGGGAGCAAACAGGAUUAGAUACCCUGGUAGUCCACGCCCUAAACUAUGUCAACUAGUUGUUGGGGGAGUUAAAUCCCUUAGUAACGCAGCUAACGCGUGAAGUUGACCGCCUGGGGAGUACGGUCGCAAGAUUA
rnacentral:rRNA from 1 species